rnacentral:rRNA from 1 species
CGGCGAGUGAAGCGGCAACAGCUCAAAUUUGAAAUCUGGCUCUUUCAGGGUCCGAGUUGUAAUUUGUAGAAGAUGCUUUGGGUGUGGCUCCGGUCUAAGUUCCUUGGAACAGGACGUCAUAGAGGGUGAGAAUCCCGUAUGUGAUUGGGGCCUUCGCUCGUGUAAAGCUCUUUCGACGAGUCGAGUUGUUUGGGAAUGCAGCUCAAAAUGGGUGGUAAAUUUCAUCUAAAGCUAAAUAUUGGCCAGAGACCGAUAGCGCACAAGUAGAGUGAUCGAAAGAUGAAAAGCACUUUGGAAAGAGAGUUAAACAGUACGUGAAAUUGUUGAAAGGGAAGCGCUUGCAACCAGACUUGCACGCUGUUGAUCAUCCGAGGUUUUCCCCGGUGCACUCAGCAGUGUUCAGGCCAGCAUCGGUUUCGGUGGGUGGAUAAAGGCCUUGGGAAUGUGGCUCCUCUCGGGGAGUGUUAUAGCCCUCGGUGCAAUGCGCCCUACUGAGACCGAGGACCGCGCUUCGGCUAGGAUGCUGGCGUAAUGGUUGUAAGCGACCCGUCUUGAAACACGGACCAAGGAGUCUAACAUCUAUGCGAGUGUUUGGGUGUCAAACCCAUACGCGUAAUGAAAGUGAACGGAGGUGAGAACCCUUAAGGGUGCAUCAUCGACCGAUCCUGAUGUCUUCGGAUGGAUUUGAGUAAGAGCAUAGCUGUUGGGACCCGAAAGAUGGUGAACUAUGCCUGAAUAGGGUGAAGCCAGAGGAAACUCUGGUGGAGGCUCGCAGCGGUUCUGACGUGCAAAUCGAUCGUCAAAUUUGGGUAUAG